rnacentral:lncRNA from 1 species
UUGAUCGAUGCUCUCUUGUGCGAGGAGAAGCCGACCACCAUGAAAAUGUGGGAUUGGAGAUGGCUACAGAUGCAAGUGAUGAGUACCAUCUGUAUGUACCUGGUGAAUAACGUGGUGAUCCAUGUGCUAAGUGAGACUUCUCCGAUGGUGCUGUGGUCGAAGCUCGANNNNNNNNNNNNNNNNNNNNAUUCACCCAACAAGUGGUAUCAGAGCGAGGUAGUACAAGGACGCAGAUUGUAGCGGUGGUGAGCAAGACUGAAGAUGGAGAAGACAGGAUCAAUCAAGAUGGAGAUCAACAAGUUUGAUGGAAAGAGCAAUUUCUCCUUGUGGCAGGUAAAGGUGAAGGACGUGCUCAUCCAACAAGGGUUGAUCGAUGCUCUCUUGUGCGAGGAGAAGCCGACCACCAUGAAAAUGUGGGAUUGGAGAUGGCUAUAGAUGCAAGUGGUGAGUACCAUCUGUAUGUACCUAGUGAAUGACGUGGUGAUCCAUGUGCUAAGUGAGACUUCUUCGAUGGUGCUGUGGUCGAAGCUCGAAAAGUUGUAUAUGACAAAGUCUCUCACCAACACUCUUUUCUUCUGGAGGUAGUUUUACCAGCUAUGGAUGGCUGAGGGACAGAGCAUGCAGGAGUAUCUAAGUCACUUCCAGAAGAUCUUCACCGACUUCCUCAACGUUAGUGAGAAUGUUGAGGAGAAAAUCAGGGUGCUGGUUUUACUAGCAUCGCUUCCCCCUUCGUAUGAGUCCUUAGUGACUGUUCUUCUAAUGGGGAAGAGCACCAUCA